rnacentral:lncRNA from 1 species
GAGAAGGGGUAUUCUUAUCCCCAGAUUAUUUAAAAAAGACAGUGACCAACCCACUCUAUCCCAUCAGCACACUGAAAAAAAUUACCUCAGCACAGACUUCUGGUUGGUAUCACCACAUACAAAUGUAAGUGCGACUAAAGGAUGUGACAUUUGAUAUUACCAGUGGUAUUUUCCUUGAUGAAUGUUUCCUAUGUACAGUUGAAACUUGCUUGGGUUUUGUUCAACUCUCAAUGCUAACCAAACGAGUGGGACAAGCUCUGAGACGGCUAAGUAACAUGGCUAGAGAGUAAGGAGCUGAAUGGAGCUCAGCAGUGAGCACCAGUGGCAGCGAUCCUAGUCUUAACCCUGGCACUUGUGGCUUUCUUGUCAUUUAAUUUUGCUACAAGACUAAAACCCAAUUGCUUUCUUCUACACAGCAAAAUGCUUUGCAUUAGCUUUUCCACUAAGGCCAAUUUAUGCAAACCAGACAUUAUUAACUAAAUAAUUGAAGUGACCUCAGUUUGCAAGAAAGGGAACAAUGUGGCACUGAGGUACAGGAGAAAUAUUAGGACUUGGAGCAUUCCUGCAUGCCCUGUCCCUGUCAUCUCAAAAGCAGCAUGACACAAUCCAAGUUCCAGACCAAGAGCCUGCUGAUCAGCAGAGAGAGGUGGCUAAAACUCUAGCCUGGGCUCAGACUACCUCAGCCCCCAGUCUCUUCCCUUCAUUCUCUUUUUCUGUCACUAUGGGUGUUACAAAAAAAUCAAGACAGUUCAGGGAAACUUAAUAUGUCACAGACUCCAAACAGGUGAUGAAUACAUUUAAAACCAGGAAAGAAAACCAAAGACUAGAGGAUGACAUCUUUCUUCCUGAGAUUCAUUAACAUGAUAUUUUUCUUUCAUAAUCUCCUUAGCUUGAAAUUCAUCUACUGGACAGAAAUGAGCCAUGCCACAUGUUGUAGGGACUAAUAAAAUAUCUGAUCUCUAACAUGGAAAUGUUUGGUAAAAUAAGAAACUAUGAUGAUUUCUUUUUGUGUUGACAGCAACAUGUUAGAAUCCAGAUUUUCUGCAGCUUUUAUGAAAAGAAUGGAGAUGUUUCUUUAAUGGCCUGCUGAAUCAGAUGUGCUCUGUGGACCAACAAUGCUGAAGACUUCAACGUUGAUGUGACAAAGAUAACAGUCAUAAGGAGAAUAUUUGUACAUUAUCAGACAAUUGUAGAGACACUUGCCCACUGUGGAGCUAAGCCUGGACCCAGUGUGAGGAAGUGGACUGUGAGCUUAGCAAGCACCGCUGGCUCCAAUUCUGAGCACCUUUGAAAAUCUCUUUUCAAUUAGCAAGUUUUGAGCCUUUCCGGGCAAUUCUCUGUCCAGUCAGCUCCUUUUGAUUGUACAAUAAUGAGCUGAUCUUAAGCACAUCUUUGCAACUUUGACUGGGUAGAUCAGGAGAGUUCAGAAGAGCCAAGAAGAAAGGACACGCAAGCACAAUCCUGCCACUGAAAUUCAGUCUUGCAUGUAAGCAUGAAUCAAUAAAACAGAGCCAGUUUUCAUUCUUAUUCUACUGAAUUAGCUAGAGGGUUAAUAACUCGGGAGCUAAAUACCAUUAAAAUGCACAUGCUGCAUGUAACUUUUAUGAAUCAAACCAUUCUCAGAACCACGAGGCUACUGGUCAGAAACUGGUUAGACUCUAAGCCACAAGCUAUCUGACCAUUGCAACUCAGAGUGGGUCCCAGAUGACACUGACUUCAUAUACAAUGACCCAAAGAAAGCUGUCCUCUCAUCCGUGGUUUAGUAGCAGUAUCUACUGGCCAGUAUUUACAUGUCACACUUUAACCAGGAGCCUUUUUUCCUCUUCCAAAGCAACAUAAAUCACUGCCACAUCCCUAGGCUAGCAAAAUUAACCUCCAUUUUGAGGGCAUAAAAACCUAGGUUCCAAAAUGGCUGAAGAUUGGCAGGUGUACCGAAGAGCUGUGUGCACCGUCUUUGCUAUAAAUCCACCUUGCUUCUUACCAUAUUUCCAAAUAAGAGAGAAUCAGGCUAUUCCCCCAAAUUAAAAAACAAAACAAAACAAAACAACCAGUCAAGCAGGUAGCUCAUACUUGUAAACUCAAUGCUUUUGAGGCAGAGACAUGAGGAUUUCUUGCUGGACCUGAGUCAGAGAGUUCCAGGUUCAAUGAAAGACACUGUCUUAAAAAAUAAGGUGGACAAAAAUUGAGGGAGGUAUUUGAUAUCAACCUCUUGCCUAUAUCACCCCCAUCCCCAACAUCCUCACAGACACACACACGUGAACAGUUCUUCUUGUAUUCAGCUCACGUCAUUCAGCACUUAGUUAUGGAACACAGAACAUGCUCUGCCAAAAGCAUUAGAGAAGGGCUUCCCCAUAAGGGUGAGAAGUGUUGGUAUACCGCUUUAAUUUCAGUUCUCAGGAAGCAGUGGCGAGGGAACUCUCAGUUCAAGGCUAGCCUGGUCUACAGAGCAAGUUCCAGGACAGAAAGGAAUACUGGGAGGAACCCUGCCUUGAAAAACCAAAACUGAAAAACCAAACCAAAGCAAAGCAAACCAAACCAACCAAACACCCCAGACAUCUCUUUCUGGUAACCCAGAAAGAUACAACCUUUUAGACAUCACUGCCUUAAACUUGGCCCUGGGCAUGUGCAAUAACUUGACAGGUUAACAUGCCUGAACAUCACCAUGAUAGUUCACAGUUCCUACCUGUAAAACAGUAGAGGUCAAAGAAGCAAACUAUGAGACCCAGAGCUUUACCUCAAUAGGUCUGUGGCAGGGGCCAGACAGGAAUCAGAGCCCAGGGAGGACCUGGCAAGCUACUUCGCUUACAACAACAGCUGCACAUUUUCUCUUAUCACACAUGAGAUCGUCUGGUGGGGCAGAACUGGGGGCAUUGUCAGAGUUGCCCAUACUUCAUGAAAAGCUAAAAAUCUAGAAUUUUGUAUGAAGUAUCCCAAUUUUAAAAUGACAGCAAAUAAUUAAAAGCAAAUUGCAUUGGCCAAAUAAAACAGGUCUGUGGUUCAGGUCCAGCUCAUAGUGGACCUUUGCUAACUUCAGUGAUGAACUCAGGAGUAAUCGAGUUGGGUGCUCAGCACUCAGUGGUUUGCGAGUGACUGCAGAGCGAACUUACAGGAUCCAGCACAACAUUACUAAGAGCUUCGGAGGUGCCUGAAAACGCUGACAUCAGUGAUUGUUCUCUGCCUCAGCAAAAUGUUUGACACAGGCCAGAAUAAGCCCACAGGACUCACAAGACAGCUUCAGGGAGAAAUGAGACUGAAAUUGUUCACUGAAAACUGUAUUCCCCAUCUAUUGCAAACAUUACUCUCCAGCAAAGCAGGGCCUCUUACCUGUGCUCUCCUGAGAGUGCCGGGCUUGUCAGUGUUUGCUGUUCGAUAGGCUUUUCCCAUAACUAUUGUUUUUUCC